UGGAGGAAGCAGUUGGAGCUAUGGUCUAGUGAGGGUUGGUCCCAGAAGGGAAGGCUCAGAUACUCUACUACUACUACUAAAUACAUACAUACAUACUGCCAGAUGUGGGAGGGCUGGCUAUAUAUAAAAGGUGCCUGCCGUGGACCUUAAAAGGGGGGAAAGAAGCUGUGUGGAAACGUCAUGCAACUGAAUUAAUUAAAUUAUAAAGGGAGGAAAAUUUCUAAUUAGGAGUGACACUUUAUGACAUAUCGUUACCGAAAAAGGAUUACUUCAAGUAUGAACAGCUGCAGGACAAUAAAUCGGCUAGACUCCUGGAGGAAGUGAUUAAAUGUGGAAGUAUGGCACCUGUAUGCUAUUAAUGCAUGUAAGGCAAAGGAAAAAUGCUGUUUGGAAAAGUUUCUUAGGUGGAAAGCCAUCAGAUAUAUGACCAUUUGAAUGAAGGAUUGAUAUGCAAUAAAUCAAGAAAAAAUCAACAUUUCCACCUUGUCUAAAUACACUAAAGUGAAGUAUUAUUAAUUGAGAAGGAACAGAAGUGGCAAGAGAGGCAAAAUGCCUUCAUAUUCAUGGUUCUCAAUCUCUUGCAUUACAGACAACUAUUUGUUUUCUUGGCAACACUGGA